rnacentral:rRNA from 1 species
GGCAGCAACUCGCGACNCUAGCAAAUCCCUAAACCGUGGCUCAGUUCAGAUCGUAGGCUGCAACUCGCCUACGUGAAGGAGGAAUCGCUAGUAAUCGCAGGUCAGCAUACUGCGGUGAAUACGUUCCCGGGCCUUGUACACACCGCCCGUCACACCAUGGAAGUUGGCCACGCCCGAAGCCGUUACUCCAACCCUUGUGGAGGAGGACGUCGAAGGUGGGGCUGAUGACUGGGGUGAAGUCGUAACAAGGUAGCCGUACCGGAAGGUGCGGCUGGAUCACCUCCUAA